UACAGAGGGGGCCAGCGUUAUUCGGAAUUAUUGGGCGUAAAGGGCGCGUAGGCGGCCAUGCGUGUCUUCCGUGAAAUCCCUCGGCUUAACUGAGGACGUGCGGAAGAAACUGCAAGGGCUCGAGUCCGGGGAGAGGGGGUGGAAUUCCCAGUGUAGCGGUGGAAAUGCGUAGAUAUUGGGAGGAACACCGGUGGCGAAGGCGGCCCCCUGGACCGGUACUGACGCGUG
rnacentral:rRNA from 1 species